UAGGGAAUCUUCGGCAAUGGGGGGAACCCUGACCGAGCAACGCCGCGUGAGUGAAGAAGGUUUUCGGAUCGUAAAGCUCUGUUGUUAAGGAAGAACGAGUGUGAGAAUGGAAAGUUCAUACUGUGACGGUACUUAACCAGAAAGGGACGGCUAACUACGUGCCAGCAGCCGCGGUAAUACGUAGGUCCCGAGCGUUGUCCGGAUUUAUUGGGCGUAAAGCGAGCGCAGGCGGUUAGAUAAGUCUGAAGUUAAAGGCAGUGGCUCAACCAUUGUAGGCUUUGGAAACUGGUUGACUUGAGUGCAGAAGAGGAGAGUGGAAUUCCAUGUGUAGCGGUGAAAUGCGUAGAUAUUAGGAGGAAUACCAGUAGCGAAGGCGACUUUCUGGACACAAACUGACGCUGAGGUACGAAAGCGUGGGGAGCAAACAGG
rnacentral:rRNA from 1 species